UACAGCAGAUGGCUGGCCAGAUCCUCGGCAA
rnacentral:piRNA from 1 species